AGCGGAUGAAGGGAGCUUGCUCCUGGAUUCAGCGGCGGACGGGUGAGUAAUGCCUAGGAAUCUGCCUGGUAGUGGGGGAUAACGUCCGGAAACGGGCGCUAAUACCGCAUACGUCCUGAGGGAGAAAGUGGGGGAUCUUCGGACCUCACGCUAUCAGAUGAGCCUAGGUCGGAUUAGCUAGUUGGUGGGGUAAAGGCCUACCAAGGCGACGAUCCGUAACUGGUCUGAGAGGAUGAUCAGUCACACUGGAACUGAGACACGGUCCAGACUCCUACGGGAGGCAGCAGUGGGGAAUAUUGGACAAUGGGCGAAAGCCUGAUCCAGCCAUGCCGCGUGUGUGGAGAAGGUCUUCGGAUUGUAAAGCACUUUAAGUUGGGAGGAAGGGCAGUAAGUUAAUACCUUGCUGUUUUGACGUUACCAACAGAAUAAGCACCGGCUAACUUCGUGCCAGCAGCCGCGGUAAUACGAAGGGUGCAAGCGUUAAUCGGAAUUACUGGGCGUAAAGCGCGCGUAGGUGGUUCAGCAAGUUGGAUGUGAAAUCCCCGGGCUCAACCUGGGAACUGCAUCCAAAACUACUGAGCUAGAGUACGGUAGAGGGUGGUGGAAUUUCCUGUGUAGCGGUGAAAUGCGUAGAUAUAGGAAGGAACACCAGUGGCGAAGGCGACCACCUGGACUGAUACUGACACUGAGGUGCGAAAGCGUGGGGAGCAAGCAGGAUUAGAUACCCUGGUAGUCCACGCCGUAAACGAUGUCGACUAGCCGUUGGGAUCCUUGAGAUCUUAGUGGCGCAGCUAACGCGAUAAGUCGACCGCCUGGGGAGUACGGCCGCAAGGUUAAAACUCAAAUGAAUUGACGGGGGCCCGCACAAGCGGUGGAGCAUGUGGUUUAAUUCGAAGCAACGCGAAGAACCUUACCUGGCCUUGACAUGCUGAGAACUUUCCAGAGAUGGAUUGGUGCCUUUGGGAACUCAGACACAGGUGCUGCAUGGCUGUCGUCAGCUCGUGUCGUGAGAUGUUGGGUUGAGUCCCGUAACGAGCGCAACCCUUGUCCUUAGUUACCAGCACCUCGGGUGGGCACUCUAAGGAGACUGCCGGUGACAAACCGGAGGAAGGUGGGGAUGACGUCAAGUCAUCAUGGCCCUUACGGCCAGGGCUACACACGUGCUACAAUGGUCGGUACAAAGGGUUGCCAAGCCGCGAGGUGGAGCUAAUCCCAUAAAACCGAUCGUAGUCCGGAUCGCAGUCUGCAACUCGACUGCGUGAAGUCGGAAUCGCUAGUAAUCGUGAAUCAGAAUGUCACGGUGAAUACGUUCCCGGGCCUUGUACACACCGCCCGUCACACCAUGGGAGUGGGUUGCUCCAGAAGUAGCUAGUCUAACCGCAAGGGGGACGGUUACCACGGAGUGAUUCAUGACUGGGGUGAAGUCGAACAAGGUA
rnacentral:rRNA from 1 species